AACGAACGCUGGCGGCAUGCCUAACACAUGCAAGUCGAACGAGACCUUCGGGUCUAGUGGCGCACGGGUGCGUAACGCGUGGGAACCUGCCCUUAGGUUCGGAAUAACUCCCCGAAAGGGGUGCUAAUACCGGAUAAUGUCUUCGGACCAAAGAUUUAUCGCCUUUGGAUGGGCCCGCGUUGGAUUAGCUAGUUGGUAGGGUAAAAGCCUACCAAGGCGACGAUCCAUAGCUGGUCUGAGAGGAUGAUCAGCCACACUGGGACUGAGACACGGCCCAGACUCCUACGGGAGGCAGCAGUAGGGAAUAUUGGUCAAUGGGCGAAAGCCUGAUCCAGCAAUGCCGCGUGAGUGAUGAAGGCCUUAGGGUUGUAAAGCUCUUUUACCCGGGAUGAUAAUGACAGUACCGGGAGAAUAAGCACCGGCUAACUCCGUG
rnacentral:rRNA from 1 species